rnacentral:rRNA from 2 species
GAACGCUGGCGGCGUGCCUAAUACAUGCAAGUCGAACGAACUCUGGUAUUGAUUGGUGCUUGCAUCAUGAUUUACAUUUGAGUGAGUGGCGAACUGGUGAGUAACACGUGGGAAACCUGCCCAGAAGCGGGGGAUAACACCUGGAAACAGAUGCUAAUACCGCAUAACAACUUGGACCGCAUGGUCCGAGUUUGAAAGAUGGCUUCGGCUAUCACUUUUGGAUGGUCCCGCGGCGUAUUAGCUAGAUGGUGGGGUAACGGCUCACCAUGGCAAUGAUACGUAGCCGACCUGAGAGGGUAAUCGGCCACAUUGGGACUGAGACACGGCCCAAACUCCUACGGGAGGCAGCAGUAGGGAAUCUUCCACAAUGGACGAAAGUCUGAUGGAGCAACGCCGCGUGAGUGAAGAAGGGUUUCGGCUCGUAAAACUCUGUUGUUAAAGAAGAACAUAUCUGAGAGUAACUGUUCAGGUAUUGACGGUAUUUAACCAGAAAGCCACGGCUAACUACGUGCCAGCAGCCGCGGUAAUACGUAGGUGGCAAGCGUUGUCCGGAUUUAUUGGGCGUAAAGCGAGCGCAGGCGGUUUUUUAAGUCUGAUGUGAAAGCCUUCGGCUCAACCGAAGAAGUGCAUCGGAAACUGGGAAACUUGAGUGCAGAAGAGGACAGUGGAACUCCAUGUGUAGCGGUGAAAUGCGUAGAUAUAUGGAAGAACACCAGUGGCGAAGGCGGCUGUCUGGUCUGUAACUGACGCUGAGGCUCGAAAGUAUGGGUAGCAAACAGGAUUAGAUACCCUGGUAGUCCAUACCGUAAACGAUGAAUGCUAAGUGUUGGAGGGUUUCCGCCCUUCAGUGCUGCAGCUAACGCAUUAAGCAUUCCGCCUGGGGAGUACGGCCGCAAGGCUGAAACUCAAAGGAAUUGACGGGGGCCCGCACAAGCGGUGGAGCAUGUGGUUUAAUUCGAAGCUACGCGAAGAACCUUACCAGGUCUUGACAUACUAUGCAAAUCUAAGAGAUUAGACGUUCCCUUCGGGGACAUGGAUACAGGUGGUGCAUGGUUGUCGUCAGCUCGUGUCGUGAGAUGUUGGGUUAAGUCCCGCAACGAGCGCAACCCUUAUUAUCAGUUGCCAGCAUUAAGUUGGGCACUCUGGUGAGACUGCCGGUGACAAACCGGAGGAAGGUGGGGAUGACGUCAAAUCAUCAUGCCCCUUAUGACCUGGGCUACACACGUGCUACAAUGGAUGGUACAACGAGUUGCGAACUCGCGAGAGUAAGCUAAUCUCUUAAAGCCAUUCUCAGUUCGGAUUGUAGGCUGCAACUCGCCUACAUGAAGUCGGAAUCGCUAGUAAUCGCGGAUCAGCAUGCCGCGGUGAAUACGUUCCCGGGCCUUGUACACACCGCCCGUCACACCAUGAGAGUUUGUAACACCCAAAGUCGGUGGGGUAACCUUUUAGGAACCAGCCG